rnacentral:rRNA from 1 species
AGAGUUUGAUCAUGGCUCAGAUUGAACGCUGGCGGCAUGCCUUACACAUGCAAGUCGAACGGUAACGGGCCUUCGGGUGCCGACGAGUGGCGAACGGGUGAGUAAUGCAUCGGAACGUACCUUUCAGUGGGGGAUAACGUAGCGAAAGUUACGCUAAUACCGCAUAUUCUGUGAGCAGGAAAGCAGGGGAUCGCAAGACCUUGCGCUGAUUGAGCGGCCGAUGUCAGAUUAGCUAGUUGGUGGGGUAAUGGCCCACCAAGGCGACGAUCGGUAGCUGGUCUGAGAGGAUGAUCAGCCACACUGGGACUGAGACACGGCCCAGACUCCUACGGGAGGCAGCAGUGGGGAAUUUUGGACAAUGGGGGCAACCCUGAUCCAGCCAUGCCGCGUGCGGGAAGAAGGCCUUCGGGUUGUAAACCGCUUUUGGUCGGGAAGAAAAGGCAACUCCUAAUACGAGGUGUUCUUGACGGUACCGGCAGAAUAAGCACCGGCUAACUACGUG